AGUCCAAGUACCUGUACUGUCGUGGUGA
rnacentral:sRNA from 1 species